rnacentral:piRNA from 1 species
UGUCACCCACACACCACAGUGUCACCCUCGC